AGAUAAAGAACGCCUGCUUUCUAAUGCUUCAAAAUGUGUUAGAAAGUUUAUUUGCCAGCCAAUUUUAGUAUCAUUCCCUUGCACGGGCUUACGUAUAGAGGGGGAGCUGAGAAAGUCCUGUCGGGAUUUGGGAGGGUUUGGAGUUCCUAGGAGAGAUUUGGGGGGGGUCCAUGGGGAGAUUGGGGGUCUCUCUCAGAGGGAUGCCAGCUCUCUGCCACUUUAACCACCCCGAGGGCCUCCCAAACCACAUGGGGACCCCCUCGACCCUCCUGCACCGCGAAGUCCCUUCUAGGACGCCCAGAACCACUCCAGCCCCCCUCCACUCCAAACCUUUCCCCGGGGAUCCCAAACAACCUCUCUGAGACCCUCAAAACAACCCCAGUGACUCCCAGAACUCCCUGGGCAUCUCUCAGCGCCCCCACACCCGCAAACCCCUCCAGGGACCCCAAUUGCGACUCCAAGGUCGCCCUCGGUGCCUCCGGAGGCCCCAAACGGCUCCGCGGAUGCCCAAACCGCUCCCGCGGACCCCCACCCCUCUCCCGCCGCACUCGGGAAGCGCCUUCUCCCUCCCCCGCCUCUCAUUGGCCUCAGCGCCGCCCGUCCCCGCCCUGAACCAAUCAGCGCCCGAGCUCGGAGCGCUGGGCAAAACCACACGAGAGCGCGGGCGAUGGAGAUGGUGAGGCUUGAGGGCUCCGGAGGGGACCGAGGGGGGAAUUUGGGGGCUCGGGAGGGCCCCCUGUCACUUCCUGCAUACCUCCUGCAGAGGCUCAGCCUGGAGCAGCGAACGGAGUGUAUGGUGCAAAGGAGGUGGGAGAGCAGCCAGGCCUCAAAGUGUCCCUCGGGAUCCCCGAGUGCCCCAUGGAGGCCCCAGCCUACUCCCCCGUUCCCUCAGUGUCGUCCCGGACUGCUCCCCAGACCCCCAAAUGCCGCCCCAGACCCAUAAGCGCCUGCCAUUUCUCUCCCUUGCCCCAGUGUUCCCCAGAGCGCCUCGGGGACCCCCAGCUACCUCACCCGAUCCCAGCUGAUCCCCCGGACCCCGCAUUGUGCCCGCAAGUGCGUCCCGCAGCCCCUCAAACUCCUCCCGAGAGCACCAGCCCCGCGGGGUCAGUGCAGGGUCAAUAUUUCGGGGGUCCUCGCCCCUUCCCAACCCUCUCCUCCCUCCACCAGCCAGGCCCUGCUCAGGCCCCGCCCCCGCGGGCCAGAAGGGGCGAAGCCUCUGCUCGGCUCUACCGCCUGCAGCUCCACCCUCGAUGACCCCCUCGUCGAAAUGGCGCUUGAGGCGGUGCCAAGGGGAGGAGCCAGCGCUGGGACACGCCCUUGAGGGGCAGGGCCCUGCUGGGCUCUGCUGCUCCCCAGGGUUCCCUGCAAGAGCCACCGGGGAGGUCACGUGAUUCCCCCAGGACCUUGCAGGGGGCGGGGCCCUGGCAGUCACAUGACCCACCAGAGGCUCCAUGGCCAAUCGGGAGACACUUCUGCAAGCACCAGGGGGCGUCUUCAGCGCAGGCCGUCUCCCCAGAACCCUUGUGGCAUCAUCCACGUUGGAGGCCACAUGACUCCCACAAGACCCUCUGGCCAAUGAGGAGCAGCUCUCUGGAUACCCUGCAGGGGGCACUUUACUCACAGUCACGUGACUCCCACCAUGCCCCGCAGCAAGUCAGCAGCAGCUGCAGUGCACCCCUGCACCAGGGGGCAUGACCCGCUGGGAAGCGAGAGUCCCAUGCGCAUUUGCUGCAAGAGUCAUUUUGGGGGUCACAUGACUUCCUCGGGGCUCUGCGGUGUGCGCCAUAUUGGAAAUCAUGCCCUCUUGGGGACCCCCUCCUCUGGAUUCUGCGAUGCCACCGCCGGGCCAUAAGAGGAUGUCUUCGGUAGGACAUCCCCGCCCCCGGAUUUCAGGGCUCUGCCCCUGCGCCUCCCUCAGCUCCCCCUAACUCCCUGUUUGCUCUCCUUCUCCCCCACAGGGAGUGGGGAAUGCCCACCUGGGCACCCCCAGCCCAUGGUAGGGCCAAUAAAGCAAUGACACCCCAAAAUUGCGCCAGGAAGGUGGGGAGACCCGCAGAACUCCCUCCCUUACCUUCCCCACCAUUGGGAUUGCCCCAAAUCCCCUCUCCCCCUAAAUGUCCCCAAGAACAUUUGAGGGGGUCUGGGGGCUCAAAAGCAGCUGUUGGUGGGGUGCUGGGUGUUUCUAGGGGGGUCCGUGAGGGUCUGUGGGGUGUUUGGAGGGGCUCUGAGCAGUGGAAAUCGGGAGUGGUUGGGUGGGCACUGGGUGUUUAUAGAGCGUUUAGAAGAGGUCUGUGGGAUUUUGGAGGGAGAUGCUUGGAGUGUUGGGGAAAAUCUGUGAAAGAUAUUGGAGGUCCAGGAAGGGGUUUGGGGGGGGCCCUUGGGCUUUGGACCGUCUUUAACGGUCCGGGGCUCUGUGGGAUGUUUUGGGGGGCCCAGGAGAGCGCUGGGGUGUCUGUGGGGACUAGGGAGUCUUUAUGGGCACCUUGGGGCUUAUUGGGCGCAUCGGGGCGGGGAACCCCAAACCCCUGGGAGUGGGGCUCACCUGUCUUUCUUCACUUUCACAUGGCCGACGUGGCGCGGGGGGACUCUGGUGUCCCUCCGCGCCUGAGUGCGCUGUGGGGGGUCAUGGGGGGCGUCAGAAGCUCCCCUGAGCCCCCCAAAAUCCCGCGGGCCCCCCGCCUCCCAUUGGCCGCUGGUUCCGCGCCAGUUUACUCACUUCCUGGACUACAACUCCCGAAAGACCGCGGGGCCCCGUAGGACGCUGAUAGAGCCGGGACUGCGGUUCCCGUCAUGCCCCGCGGCCCGUGAGGGGCCGUCAGAGCCGGGACUGUCCCCAAAGUACCUUCCCAGCUGCUCCCCAAGUGCUUCCCUGAACCGUAAGUGCCCCCCGGAGCCCCGUAAGUACCUCCAGUUUUCCUCUCCUGACCCUCAAGUGCCCCUUAGAGUCCCGAAGUCCGCCCGCUCCCCGUUCCCCUACUUGCCCCCAAAAUGCCCCCCGUGUGUCCCCUCGGACCACCGAGUGCUUUCUAACUGCCUCCCCGCCCCCUGAGCGCCCCUCCAGACCCUUUCAUGAUCCCGCAAGCACCCCCAGCUGGCCUCCAAGCGCCCUUCGAGUGUCUCCUGGGAAUUGGCGUGAUGACGACAAUGUAGAGAAAGACCCUGUCGCAGUAUCAGCAACAGUUCAGCCUUUACUUAAAAUUUGAAUCAAAACUGCAAUUGCCGAUGUGGGGGAUGCACAAGCCCCCCCGCCCUUUUUCGUGCCAGUCCGUGGUCCCUCUUGGAGCCAGGGAAAUUGCAGGAAAAGCAUUCCUGCGUGUUGUGCACAUCAAAAUUUUGUGGGAAUUGGGAACAGAGUCUGUGUGGUGAGCUUCCCUGACUGGUGCAGAUAAAUCCUAUCAGAUGAAGAACAGGUUGAGAGGACUUUGGGCACCUGGAGUAUACAGUCCUGUGGCCCCCCCCAAAACCCCAGAGACCCCCUCCAUCCCCUACAGACUCCCUGGUAGAUCCCAAAUACCCUCAGAAUCCCCUCAAAAUGCUCCAUAGAGUUCCGUCCCCAAAUGCCCCAUAAACCCUCAGAACCCUCCCAAAAUUCCUGAGGCUCUCUAAAAUAACCCAUAGAUCUGCCCACUCCCCUGUACCUCCAAAAGGGGCUAGCUCAGGGUAGGCACGGUUAGAUGGGAUAUUGGGAAUAAAUUCCUCCCUGUGAGGGUGGUGAGACCCUGGCACAGGUUGUCAAGAGAAGCUGCAGCUGCUCCAUCCCUGAAAGUGUCCAAGGCCAGGUUGGACAGGGCUUGGAGCAACCUGGGAUUGUGGAAGAUGCCCCUGCCUAUGGUUUGGGAUGGGUGACCUUGGCUGACCCAGGUGCCCCUCCUGGCUGCUCCAUCACUCAUGCUUCAGGAAGAGACAGCAAGAGAAAACCUGAUGAAAAAGCUCCUGGGGAAGAUGGGUUGAGGGGGUGUGAGUCCCUCAGGAACUGCUCCAGGUCCCUUUCCAUGGGCUGAGUCCUCAGUUGGAGGCAUUUCAGACAUGGAGGCAACACCUACCUCACUCCUGUUUUUCUCCAGGGCUGCAGGGCACCUGCUCUGCUCUGGCACCUGCAGCACUCACUUGGGGAGAUGCUCAAGGAGGAAGGACAACAGCAGUGAAAGGGACUUGGGAUGAAAGGAGGCAUCAGCAGAGUGAGGAACAUUUCCCAAGCUCUAGCUGGUGUCAGGUGAACUCAAACAGGAGAUUAGGUUUGAACCAGAAAGUGAAUUCUAAGAGUAAAUAGUGGAUUUACUCCUGUGGCAGGGAAUUCUCUGGAACAUGGAUUUGUUGCUUCAAAAUGUUUUACUUUCCAUAAUUUGUCUGUGCUUUGUUAUGCAAGAGGUCAUUGUUAUAAAUAAAGAGAUUACGAUAAUGCUA